rnacentral:rRNA from 1 species
CUGUCUGCUAAUAGUAAGCUGAUUACUUUGUCAGCUUGUCUUCUUAGAGGGACUGGCGGAUUUAAACCGCACGAGAUUGAGCAAUAACAGGUCUGUGAUGCCCUUAGAUGUUCUGGGCUGCACACGCGCUACACUGAAGGGAUCAGCGUGCUUCCCCUGUCCGAUAGGACCGGGUAACCCGCUGAACCCCCUUCGUGGUAGGGAUUGGAGCUUGCAAUUAUUCUCCAUGAACCAGGAAUUCCCAGUAAGCGCAAGUCAUAAGCUUGCGUUGAUUACGUCCCUGCCCUUUGUACACACCGCCCGUCGCUACUACCGAUUGGACGUUUUAGUGAGACAUUUGGACUGGGUCAGAGUAGUCGAAAGAUUAUUCUGUCUCGGAAAGACUUUCAAACUUGAGCGUCUAGAGGAAGUAAAAGUCGUAACAAGGUAUCCGUUAGGU